rnacentral:rRNA from 1 species
GAUGAACGCUGGCGGCGUGCUUAACACAUGCAAGUCGAACGAGAAAUGGAGACGGAAACCUUCGGGCGGAAGGCUUCAUUUCGAGUGGCGGACGGGUGAGUAACGCGUGGGUAACCUGCCUCAUACAGGGGGAUAACAGUUGGAAACGACUGUUAAUACCGCAUAAGACCACAGCACCGCAUGGUGCGGGGGUAAAAACUCCGGUGGUAUGAGAUGGACCCGCGUUCGAUUAGCCAGUUGGCGGGGUAACGGCCCACCAAAGCGACGAUCGAUAGCCGAUCUGAGAGGAUGACCGGCCACAUUGGGACUGAGACACGGCCCAAACUCCUACGGGAGGCAGCAGUGGGGAAUAUUGCACAAUGGGGGAAGCCCUGAUGCAGCGACGCCGCGUGAGUGAAGAAGUACUUCGGUAUGUAAAGCUCUAUCAGCAGGGAAGAAAAUGACGGUACCUGAGUAAGAAGCCCCGGCUAACUACGUG